rnacentral:lncRNA from 1 species
GGCAUGAGAACUUUGAUGGAAGCAGUUGAAUUAGUUGGCCAAGGAAAUUUGGUGUAUCUCGUGUUUCCUGCUUCACUGCUUAUCUCCACUCAUCUGCAUUGCCCCUCUCUACUAUCCUCCUCUGCAUCAAUCUUCAACAGCCAAGAAGAAAAUGAGUCAACACCAACCAGACGAACAUCAUCCUUGCAUCGACACCAUACUGCUGUAAUUGUGACUCUUGUAGAGAACUGUCUUUUGAACUUUGAAAGGGAUUCAUUCACGACCUUGUCGGGAUUUUCUGUACGUAUUCGGAGAUAGAGAGUAAAGAACUCUCUCGAGAACAAUAAAGGAAGUUGUUGAUUCUUUAAACCAUAGCCUCUGUGUACUUGUCUAGCCUCAUUACCUGUCUGUACCUGCAGCGGCUGUUGUCUGCUGUUAGGCCUAAUGCC